rnacentral:rRNA from 1 species
UACGGAGGAUGCAAGCGUUAUCCGGAAUGAUUGGGCGUAAAGCGUCCGCAGGUGGCUGUGUAAGUCUGCUGUCAAAGAGCAAAGCUCAACUUUGUAAAGGCAGUGGAAACUACACGGCUAGAGUGCGUUCGGGGCAGAUGGAAUUCCGGGUGUAGCGGUGGAAUGCGUAGAGAUCCGGAAGAACACCGGUGGCGAAGGCGGUCUGCUGGGCAGUUGCUGACGCUGAUGCGCGACAGCGUGGGGAGCAAACAGG